GCAGCACAGCGCAGCGCUCCUGGAGAGGCUGUGGGUUCGUGGCAUCCGCGCCGCGGCCGCAAGUAUAGCAGGUUUCGUACCUGGUGUUCAUCGCCGUUAAGUCAUCGCUGCUGCCACCCAGGCACGGCUCUCUAUGCCGCCGCUCCCUCCACCCUCUAGGCACUGCCUGCCGUAAGAAUUUUAACUGCGACACUCGCUUCAGCAGGAGAUUUUAUUGGCUGCAGACACACGCAGCAUCUUCUUGCGCUCCUCCUUGAGGUGGAUGGGCAGCUAGCUGGAGAUGACACAGGAUGAUGCGCAUCUUUCGCACGCUGGCUCCAAGAUCUCCGCUGCCAGAUGCAGCAACAAAGCUUCUUUGUACAGACAGCCCUGGACACACUUCCAGCAGCAAUUCUUCUUGCAGGAACUGGUGCAAGAACAGGAUUUAUUCGUGGCACAGGAGCAGUUGGUGUCCACUGGGAGUGGAGGCAGAAGAGAGACCAGAGCGGGUAUGUUAGGAGAGAAAGCAGUGACUUCAACAGAAGUGGAGUAAAUAAAGAUGAUCACAGAACUUGGAAGCUGACGAAAUUAAUUUUGGAAAAGAGCUGGCUUGGAGCAUGACAGAAGAAUUCGAUGGAAAGAGUGCUGGGAGCCCAACUCAAGACUGAUGUGUGCUUGGCAGGCAGUCUACCCCCGAUCUCAGUCCUCCAGCCUUUCGGCCUUUUUUCCUUUUUGGAGACAGAAUUGCAUCAUAUGGCAUCCUACACAGUCCUGCCUCAGUCUCUGCAGUGCUGGGAUUGUAGGCCUAUGCCACCUAGCCUUUCUACAAUACAAACAAAUAUGAAAAGAAGAGGGACUUCUUUGGAAAGGAGUACAGGGACUAUGGAAGAGAUGAAAAGAUAAUAUUGUCAGAAAUUAUGCCGCUUUUGAAGAGAUAAACUGAACUCUUGAUUCUGUGAGGUUAUUAAAGAAUAUUAAUUUUCAAAUCACGGUAAAAUCUUGAUUCAGCAACACAUGAGGAUAAUCAUUGUGUCCAUGGAAACCUUGGGAAGCAGUUGAAAGCCUGGGUUGGAAGGAACAGAGCCAGUUGGCCAUGGACUGAAACUUUUGGAACUGAUUCUGAGGAGUUAAUGUUUCCAUGAAUAUCUCAGAAGGAGAUGUGGACAAACGAACAGUUAUCUCACUCCUGUAGCUGGCUGAGCUUUUUAAAGAUGGCUAUUCUGAAUUCUUCACAGAUGGCACAGUGUCAGAAUCGUGUGUGGCCUCCUGCUGCCUGAACCAUGCCGCUAAGACAGUUGCCCACUGUGCAGCUUCACACCAUCUGCAGAGAGCAACACUGCAGAGCCUUUGGGAGAGCCUUGCCAGUCGCUGAAAGCCUGGCUGACUGCCAAGCCUUGCACUGUAGACUGAAAAUUGCUCUCUUUGCUGAGCUCAGUACUAACACUUAGAUCUUCAUGGUCUCCUGGGAGACCAUGUCAGCUGCUGUUCAGUGAGAUAAAUUUGGAUCAGCUGAAGAUAUGCACUCUCUAUGCCUUCCUUGACUGUCAGCUAAACAGUGUGCACUCCUGGCUUAGUACAGCCUUGGCUGCUGAGAGCCCCAUUCCUCCCCUGUGCUCUUCAUUGUCCUCAUGAUCUGGCUUUCAUCAUCCAUUAUACUCCUAACACUGGGAGUGAAGUGUCAUUGAAGAAUGUUCAUCAGGCACUACCUCAAAGGGCUGGAGAUGAUUGGUGAAUGCUUUGAUUCUUCAUUCCUCCUAGGACACAUAUCAAGCCCCCAGAAUUUCUCUCUAUCCAGUUGCACCAGUGUGAGGAACUUGACGGUGUCAGGAAAGUGAAACUGCUUCUCUGCUCCAUAUAAAUGUCUGUGCAGAUGCAAAGCCAUGCAUUACAUGGUAGCUCACCUUUAAUCCUAGCACUCAGGAGACAGAGGCAGGAGGAUCUCUCCGAGCUCAAGGCCAGCCUGGUCUUCACAGUGAGUUCCAGGACAGCCAAGGCUACACAGGAAUCCUGUGUACAGGUCCUUGGUAUUGCACUCCUCUCUAUAAACACAACUUGCUUUUAGAAUGUGUGGUUGUUAAGUUGUUCUGUGAAGGAUGGAUAAAGGCUAGCUCACUACUACACCCGUCAGCUUGCUCCUGUCACUUCUUCUCACCUUUGAGCACUUAGCAUCCCUCUCCGUGUUGUCUUUGCUGAAAUGCUUGCUAAGGCGAAGCUCCUCUGUAGCUGUCCUCUAGCCCCAGCCAAGAUUCUUUCAAGAUUUUUCUUUGGCCUUCUGUAAUUUGAAUAUGAUGAAUGUUUUUAUUUACUACUUCAUUUUGUAUUUUGAAUCUUUUUUAAACCAUGCCAGGUUCUCUAGGCUCCUGGUUCUGAUAUGAAUUGAGCGAUUAUCUUAGGCCCUUGUGUUUCAAAUCUUUCUUUCUUUCUUUCUUUCUUUCUUCCUUCCUUCCUUCUUUUCUUUUCUUUUCUUUUCUUUUUUUUUUUUGAGACAGGGUUUCUCUGUAUAGCUCUGGCUGUCCUGUAACUCACCCGGUAGAUCAGGCUGUCCUUGAACUCAGAAAUCCGCCUGCCUCUGCCUCCCAAGUGCUGGAAUUAAAGUCAUGUGCCACCACUGCCCGGCUUACUCAAAUAUUUCCUUUUUUUUUUCAGUCCUCUCUAGUGAUCUCAUUAUACAUGUGUAUAUUCUCUAGUUGUCCCAGUUAUAUGAUGUUCUUCUCUCUCUCUCUCUCUUCCCCCCACCCUGUGUGUGUGUGCGCGUGCAUGCGCGCGUGCAUGUACCCAAGGAAACUAGAAAAGGACUUCAACUCCUUGACGAAGGAGGUACAAGCAUUUGUCAGCCACCUGAUACAGGUAGCAGAAUCUAAACUCUGAUCCACAUUAUUAAGCAGCAAGUGCUGUUACCUGCUAAACUAUCUCGCUGAAAUUUAUCUCUUAGAAAGUUUCUAAUAUAUUAUCACUGUCAGGGAUUCUUUGGCUUGGUUCAGUCUGCUAAUAAGCUUAGGAAAGGCAAUUUUCAUUUUGUUGCAAUAUUUUUGAUCUGUAGCUUUUGUUGUUAUUCUUGUUCAUUUUUCAAACCAGGGUUUCUCCACGGCUAUACUGGAACUCUCUGUAGACUAGGCUGGCCUCAAACUCUCAAAUAUCUCACUGCCUCUGCCUCCCAUGUUCUGGGAUUAUAUCCCUCCACUGCCCAACAGCAUUUAUUUUAUUCUUAAGAUUUGUUUUUCCCUGCUCGUUUGUUUGUUUGUCUGUUUGUUUGGUAUGGUCAUUUGUUUGUUUGUUUUGAUGUAUUUGAACUUGCUAUCUUUAUGUGAGGAUAAGCCUAAGUGUGUAAUAUUUCUGUACUCAUCUCCCAAAUGCUGAAAUGUAGACACGAACCACCACACACUAGGUUUGUUUGGUUUUCUUUUGCAUGCAUUUAUUGUAUUGUGUACAGUACUGGUACCAAAGGAGUCCAUCACAUUCUCUAGAACUUGAAUUACAGAUGGUUGUGAGUUGUCACAUGGUGCUGAGAAUUAAACUUGAUCUUCUUCUUUUUUAAAUUUAAAUUUCUUCACUUACAUUUAAAAUGCUAUCUGAAAAGUCCCCCAUUACCCCCCCCCUCACUCCCCUACCUACCCACUCCCACUACUUGGCCCCGGUGUUCCCUGUACUGGGGCAUAUAAAGUUUGCAAGACCAAGGAGCCUCUCUUCCCAAUGAUGGCCGACUAGGCCAUCUUCUACAUAUGCAACUAGAGACACAAGCUCUGGGGUACUGGUUAGUUCAUAAUGUUAUUCCACCUAUAGGGUUGCAGACCCCUUCAGCUCCUUGGGUACUUGCUCUAGCUCCUCCAUUGGGGACCCUGUGUUCUAAACUUGAUCUUCUGAAGAGUAACCACUAUUGAUUUUAACUGCUAAGUCAUGUCUCCAGUCCCAAAAGAGGUUUUUUUGUUUGUUUGUUUUUCAUUACUGUGAUGAUCCUAUAAUGAAGAAGAGAAUGCUGGUGGUUUGUUUAUGUGUUUGUUUGUUUUUUGAGACAGGGUUUCACUGUGUGUCCUUGGCUGCCCUGGAAUUUAAGCAUCAGACUGGCCUUGAUCUCACAGAGAUCUGCCUACUUUUGCGCUGAGAUUAAAGGUCUGCACUAACACCUCCCAGCCAGAUGUCUCUUUAACAGACUGACUUUACUUCCUCACGAGUAUUAUGAUGGUUUCUUCCUGUCCUGUGAGGAAUGCUAUUGAUUUGGGGUUUGGUUUGUGGAAUUUUUGUUUUCUGGUUUUUUGUAAUUUUUCCCCCCUAAAUAUCAUGCUGUCUUAUUCUUUGGU
ensembl:lincRNA Ftx Ftx transcript, Xist regulator (non-protein coding)